rnacentral:tRNA from 1 species
CGCGGGGUGGAGCAGUUCGGUAGCUCGUCGGGCUCAUAACCCGAAGGUCAUAGGUUCAAAUCCUAUCCCCGCAACCA